rnacentral:rRNA from 1 species
UGGGGAAUAUUGGACAAUGGGCGCAAGCCUGAUCCAGCCAUGCCGCGUGAGUGAUGAAGGCCCUAGGGUUGUAAAGCUCUUUCACCGGUGAAGAUAAUGACUGUAACCGGAGAAGAAGCCCCGGCUAACUUCGUGCCAGCAGCCGCGGUAAUACGAAGGGGGCUAGCGUUGUUCGGAUUUACUGGGCGUAAAGCGCACGUAGGCGGACUUUUAAGUCAGGGGUGAAAUCCCGGGGCUCAACCCCGGAACUGCCUUUGAUACUGGAAGUCUUGAGUAUGGUAGAGGUGAGUGGAAUUCCGAGUGUAGAGGUGAAAUUCGUAGAUAUUCGGAGGAACACCAGUGGCGAAGGCGGCUCACUGGACCAGUACUGACGCUGAGGUGCGAAAGCGUGGGGAGCAAACAGG